GAUGAACGCUGGCGGCGUGCCUAAUACAUGCAAGUCGAGCGAACAGACGAGGAGCUUGCUCCUCUGACGUUAGCGGCGGACGGGUGAGUAACACGUGGAUAACCUACCUAUAAGACUGGGAUAACUUCGGGAAACCGGCGCUAAUACCGGAUAAUAUAUUGAACCGCAUGGUUCAAUAGUGAAAGACGGUUUUGCUGUCACUUAUAGAUGGAUCCGCGCCGCAUUAGCUAGUUGGUAAGGUAACGGCUUACCAAGGCAACGAUGCGUAGCCGACCUGAGAGGGUGAUCGGCCACACUGGAACUGAGACACGGUCCAGACUCCUACGGGAGGCAGCAGUAGGGAAUCUUCCGCAAAGGGCGAAAGCAUGACGGAGCAACGCCGCGUGAGUGAUGAAGGUCUUCGGAUCGUAAAACUCUGUUAUUAGGGAAGAACAAAUGUGUAAGUAACUAUGCACGUCUUGACGGUACCUAAUCAGAAAGCCACGGCUAACUACGUG
rnacentral:rRNA from 1 species